rnacentral:rRNA from 1 species
CUCCCAACCCCUGUGACAUACCUUACUGUUGCCUCGGCGGAUCAGCCCGCUCCCGGUAAAACGGGACGGCCCGCCAGAGGACCCCUAAACUCUGUUUCUAUAUGUAACUUCUGAGUAAAACCAUAAAUAAAUCAAAACUUUCAACAACGGAUCUCUUGGUUCUGGCAUCGAUGAAGAACGCAGCAAAAUGCGAUAAGUAAUGUGAAUUGCAGAAUUCAGUGAAUCAUCGAAUCUUUGAACGCACAUUGCGCCCGCCAGUAUUCUGGCGGGCAUGCCUGUUCGAGCGUCAUUUCAACCCUCAAGCCCUCGGGUUUGGUGUUGGGGAUCGGCGAGCCUUUCUGGCAAGCCGGCCCCGAAAUCUAGUGGCGGUCUCGCUGCAGCCUCCAUUGCGUAGUAGUAAAACCCUCGCAACUGGAACGCGGCGCGGCCAAGCCGUUAAACCCCCAACUUCUGAAUGUUGACCUCGGAUCAGGUAGGAAUACCCGCUGAACUUAAGCAUAUCAAUAAGCGGAGGAA